AUAGCGACAGCUUCGCAUGAAGCGGUGUGAAAAACUCCGGUGGUGUAAGAUGGACCCGCGUCUGAUUAGCUUGUUGGCGGGGUAACGGCCCACCAAGGCGACGAUCAGUAGCCGGCCUGAGAGGGCGGACGGCCACAUUGGGACUGAGACACGGCCCAGACUCCUACGGAAGGCAGCAG
rnacentral:rRNA from 1 species